rnacentral:rRNA from 1 species
UCCAGACUCCUACGGGAGGCAGCAGUGGGGAAUAUUGGGCAAUGGGCGCAAGCCUGACCCAGCAACGCCGCGUGAAGGAAGAAGGCUUUCGGGUUGUAAACUUCUUUUAAGAGGGAAGAGUAGAAGACGGUACCUCUUGAAUAAGCCACGGCUAACUACGUGCCAGCAGCCGCGGUAAUACGUAGGUGGCAAGCGUUGUCCGGAUUUACUGGGUGUAAAGGGCGUGUAGCCGGGCCGGCAAGUCAGAUGUGAAAUCCCAAGGCUCAACCUUGGAACUGCAUUUGAAACUGUUGGUCUUGAGUAUCGGAGAGGCAGGCGGAAUUCCUAGUGUAGCGGUGAAAUGCGUAGAUAUACGGAGGAACACCAGUGGCGAAGGCGGAUUGCUGGACAGUAACUGACGCUGAGGCGCGAAAGCGUGGGGAGCAAACAGGAUUAGAUACCCUAGUA